GCGGCGAAGGGGUGAGGAACACGUGUAUGACCUGCCCUCCGCUCUGGGGUAGGACUGGGAAACUGGGUCUAAUACCGGAUAUUCGAUUCUCAUCGAAUGGCGGGGGGUGAAAAGUUUUUUCGGCUGGGGAUGGGCCCGCGGCCUAUCAACUUGUUGGGGGGGUGAUGGCCUACCAAGGCGACGACCGGUAGCCGGCCUGAGAGGGCGACCGCCCACACUGGAACUGAAACCCGGCCCAAACUCCUACGGGAGGCAACAGGGGGAAUAUUGCGAUGGGGGCGGAACCCAGACACCCCCACCCCGCGUGGGGGAUGACGGCCUUCGUGUUGUAAACUUCUUUCGACCCCAAAUAAUUGAGACGGUUAGCCUAGAAGAAUCACCGGCCAACUACAUGCCACCAGCCUAACUAAUACGUAGGGUGCGAGCGUUGUCCGGAAUUAUUGGGUGUAUAGAACUCGUAGGCGGUGUGUCGCGUCGGUCGUGAAAACUUGGGGCUUAACUCUGAGCUUGCGGUCGAUACGGGCAUCACUGGAGUUCGGCAGGGGAGACUGGAAUUCCUGGUGUAGCGGUGAAAUGCGCAGAUAUCAGGAGG
rnacentral:rRNA from 1 species